AGAGUUUGAUCAUGGCUCAGGAUGAACGCUGGCGGAGUGCCUAACACAUGCAAGUCGAGCGGCAGCGCGAAGAGUUUACUCUUUGGCGGCGAGCGGCGGACGGCUGAGUAACGCGUGGGAACAUACCCCAAAGUGAGGAAUAAGCUCCAGAAAUGGAGUCUAAUGCCGCAUAUGGUCUUCGGAUUAAAGGAUUUAUCCGCUUUGGGAGUGGCCUGCGUACGAUUAGAUAGUUGGUGAGGUAAUGGCUCACCAAGUCGACGAUCGUUAACUGAUCUGAGAGGAUGAUCAGUCAGACUGGAACUGAGACACGGUCCAGACUCCUACGGGAGGCAGCAGUGAGGAAUCUUCCACAAUGGACGAAAGUCUGAUGGAGCAACUCCGCGUGCAGGAUGAAGGCCUUCGGGUUGUAAACUGCUUUUGUACGGAACGAAACGGCCUUUUCUAAUAAAGAGGGCUAAUGACGGUACCGUAAGAAUAAGCACCGGCUAACUACGUGCCAGCCGCCGCGGUAAUAC
rnacentral:rRNA from 1 species